rnacentral:tRNA from 2 species
GCCCGGGUGAUGGAAUUGGUAGACAUGUUGGUCUUAGAAACCAAUGCUUAAUCGCGUGCGAGUUCGAUUCUCGCCUCGGGCACCA